rnacentral:sRNA from 1 species
UCUCUUGGUUGCCAGAGCGUGACUUGC